GACGUAGGGUGCAAGCGUUGUCCGGAUUUACUGGGCGUAAAGAGCGCGCAGGCGGCUUGGCAAGUCGGGUGUGAAAUCCCGGGGCUCAACCCCGUGACUGCAUUCGAUACUGUCAGGCUAGAGGUAGGUAGGGGAGAUCGGAAUUCCUGGUGUAGCGGUGAAAUGCGCAGAUAUCAGGAGGAACACCGGUGGCGAAGGCGGAUCUCUGGGCCUUACCUGACGCUCAGGCGCGAAAGCUAGGGGAGCGAACAGG
rnacentral:rRNA from 1 species